rnacentral:rRNA from 1 species
GUCCGUAUGAUGAUAAAUAUGGUUUGGCCUGCUCACUGAUAUAAAGUUAAAGGAGGCCGCAGUUAUUUUGACUGUGCGAAGGUAGCAUAAUAGUUUGUCUCUUAAAUGGGGGCUGGAAUGAAAGGUUGGACAAAGUAUCUUCUGUUUCUUAAAUAUAAAUAGAAUUUGACUUUUAAGUGAAAAGGCUUAAAUGUUUUAAAAAGACGAUAAGACCCUAUAAAUCUUUACAUUAAAUAUAUUUUAGGUUUUUAAUUAUUUAGUUAAUUAGAUAUAAUAUUAUAUUUUUGUUACACUGGGGCGGUGUAGAUAUAUUAAAAAACUGUCUAUGUUGUAUAAUCAGUAAUUAUUGGUUAAUAUAGUUUGAUCCUUUAAGAGAUUAGAAGGUUAAGAUACUUUAGGGAUAACAGCGUUAUUUUUUCUGAGAGUUCUUAUCGAAGAGAAAGUUUGCGACCUCGAUGUUGAAUUAAAGUUUCUUUGUGGUGAAGCAGCUAUAUAAGGGGAGUCUGUUCGCACUUUUAAUACUUUACAUGAUUUGAGUUCAGACCGGCGUGAG